rnacentral:lncRNA from 1 species
GUCACAGGAUGACGCAGGGAGGACGGCUGUUGGUGAUCUUUUCUAGGGUUUCUCCAUUACUGGCUCUUCGGAUGGCCUCAAUGAGCUAGAAAAUACUCACAUCUUUCUCAUAGGGAAAGCCCCCAUUCUCCAGCUUGGAGAACACCAGCUGUCCAUUUAUCUCUAUCUCAAAGGCACCUGGUAAGAAAUCACUGACCCAGCAGGUGUUCUGCGAGCCUCACCUGUGCCCCCGAGGCGCGACUCGAUCUCGAUGCCCGGAUACUGCUCCUUCACAGCACUGGCCAGCUCCAGGU